rnacentral:rRNA from 1 species
AUACGUAGGGGGCGAGCGUUGUCCGGAAUGAUUGGGCGUAAAGGGCGCGUAGGCGGCCUGUUAAGUCUGGAGUGAAAGUCCUGUUUUCAAGAUGGGAAUUGCUUUGGAUACUGAUGGGCUUGAGUGCAGGAGAGGUUAUCGGAAUUCCCGGUGUAGCGGUGAAAUGCGUAGAGAUCGGGAGGAACACCAGUGGCGAAGGCGGGUAACUGGACUGCAACUGACGCUGAGGCGCGAAAGUGUGGGGAGCAAACAGGAUUAGAUACCCUGGUAGUCCACGCCGUAAACGAUGAGUGCUAAGUGUUGGAGGGUUUCCGCCCUUCAGUGCUGCAGCUAACGCAUUAAGCACUCCGCCUGGGGAGUACGGCCGCAAGGCUGAAACUUAAAUGAAUUGGCGGGG